CCUACGGGUGGCUGUAGUGAGGAAUAUUGGUCAAUGGGCGUAAGCCUGAACCAGCCAAGUCGCGUGAGGGAUGAAGGUUCUAUGGAUCGUAAACCUCUUUUAUAAGGGAAUAAAGUGCGGGACGUGUCCCGUUUUGUAUGUACCUUAUGAAUAAGGAUCGGCUAACUCCGUGCCAGCAGCCGCGGUAAUACGGAGGAUCCGAGCGUUAUCCGGAUUUAUUGGGUUUAAAGGGUGCGUAGGCGGCCUUUUAAGUCAGCGGUGAAAGUCUGUGGCUCAACCAUAGAAUUGCCGUUGAAACUGGGAGGCUUGAGUAUGUUUGAGGCAGGCGGAAUGCGUGGUGUAGCGGUGAAAUGCUUAGAUAUCACGCAGAACCCCGAUUGCGAAGGCAGCGUGCCGUGCCGCCACUGACGCUGAGGCACGAAAGCGCGGGGAUCGAACAGGAUUAGAUACCCUUGUAGUC
rnacentral:rRNA from 1 species